rnacentral:rRNA from 1 species
UGGGGGAUAUUGCACAAUGGGCGCAAGCCUGAUGCAGCGACGCCGCGUGGGGGAUGAAGGCCUUCGGGUUGUAAACUUCUUGUGCUCUGAACAAGGCGCACUUUGGGGUGUGUUGAGUGUAGGGGUUGAUUAGCGCCGGCUAACUACGUGCCAGCAGCCGCGGUAAUACGUAGGGCGCGAGCGUUGUCCGGAAUUAUUGGGCGUAAAGGGCUUGUAGGUGGCUGGUUGCGUCUGUCGUGAAAGCUCAUGGCUUAACUGUGGGUUUGCGGUGGGUACGGGCUGGCUUGAGUGCAGUAGGGGAGGCUGGAAUUCCUGGUGUAGCGGUGGAAUGCGCAGAUAUCAGGAGGAAUACCGGUGGCGAAGGCGGGUCUCUGGGCUGUUACUGACACUGAGGAGCGAAAGCAUGGGGGGCGAACAGG